rnacentral:rRNA from 1 species
UACGUAGGGUGCAAGCGUUAUCCGGAAUUAUUGGGCGUAAAGAGCUCGUAGGCGGUUUGUCGCGUCUGCUGUGAAAACUGGAGGCUCAACCUCCAGCCUGCAGUGGGUACGGGCAGACUAGAGUGCGGUAGGGGAGAUUGGAAUUCCUGGUGUAGCGGUGGAAUGCGCAGAUAUCGAGGAGGAACACCGAUGGCGAAGGCAGAUCUCUGGGCCGUAACUGACGCUGAGGAGCGAAAGCGUGGGGAGCGAACAGG